GGAUGAACGCUGGCGGCGUGCCUAAUACAUGCAAGUCGAGCGAACUGAUUAGAAGCUUGCUUCUAUGACGUUAGCGGCGGACGGGUGAGUAACACGUGGGCAACCUGCCUGUAAGACUGGGAUAACUUCGGGAAACCGAAGCUAAUACCGGAUAGGAUCUUCUCCUUCAUGGGAGAUGAUUGAAAGAUGGUUUCGGCUAUCACUUACAGAUGGGCCCGCGGUGCAUUAGCUAGUUGGUGAGGUAACGGCUCACCAAGGCAACGAUGCAUAGCCGACCUGAGAGGGUGAUCGGCCACACUGGGACUGAGACACGGCCCAGACUCCUACGGGAGGCAGCAGUAGGGAAUCUUCCGCAAUGGACGAAAGUCUGACGGAGCAACGCCGCGUGAGUGAUGAAGGCUUUCGGGUCGUAAAACUCUGUUGUUAGGGAAGAACAAGUACGAGAGUAACUGCUUGUACCUGACGGUACCUAACC
rnacentral:rRNA from 1 species